UCGAGGAUUUUCGUCAAUGGGCGCAAGCCUGAACGAGCGACGCCGCGUGCGGGAUGAAGGCCUUCGGGUUGUAAACCGCUGUCAGUGGGGAGGAAAUGUAUGUGGGUACUCCCGCAUAUUUGACUAAUCCGCAGAGGAAGUGUGGGCUAAGCUCGUGCCAGCAGCCGCGGUAAGACGAGCCACACAAACGUUAUUCGGAAUCACUGGGCUUAAAGGGUGCGUAGGCUGUGCAGAAAGUUGGGUGUGAAAUCCGACAGCUUAACUGUCGAAGUGCACUCAAUACUACUGUGCUAGAGGAAGACAGAGGUAAGCGGAACUGAGGGUGGAGCGGUGAAAUGCGUUGAUAUCCUCAGGAACACCGGUGGCGAAGGCGGCUUACUGGGUCUUUUCUGACGCUGAG
rnacentral:rRNA from 1 species